rnacentral:rRNA from 1 species
AGAGUUUGAUCCUGGCUCAGGAUGAACGCUAGCGGCAGGCCUAAUACAUGCAAGUCGAGGGGCAGCAGUACUUUUCGGAGUAGCUGGCGACCGGCGCACGGGUGCGUAACGCGUAUGCAAUCUACCCACAGCACAGGGAUAGCCCGUGGAAACAUGGAUUAAUACCUGAUAACACAGGGAGCUCACCUGAGCACCUUGUUAAAGUUUUGGCGGCAGUGGAUGAGCAUGCGUCCCAUUAGCUAGUUGGUAAGGUAACAGCUUACCAAGGCGAUGAUGGGUAGGGGUUCUGAGAGGAUGAUCCCCCACACUGGUACUGAGAUACGGACCAGACUCCUACGGGAGGCAGCAGUAGGGAAUAUUGGUCAAUGGACGCAAGUCUGAACCAGCCAUGCCGCGUGCAGGAAGACGGCCUUCUGGGUUGUAAACUGCUUUUUUCAGGGAAGAAAACACUCUUGCGAGAGGGAUUGCCGGUACCUGAGGAAUAAGCACCGGCUAACUCCGUGCCAGCAGCCGCGGUAAUACGGAAGGUGCAAGCGUUGUCCGGAUUUAUUGGGUUUAAAGGGUGCGUAAGCGGCCCCGUAAGUCAGUGGUGAAAGGUAUCAACUCAACUGAUGAAGUGCCAUUGAAACUAACCGGGCUUGAGUUAACAACGAAGUAAGCGGAAAUUUUGGUGUAACGGUGAAAAUGCAUAGAUACCUUCCCCCC